rnacentral:rRNA from 1 species
AGUGAACGCUGGCGGUAGGCCUAACACAUGCAAGUCGAACGGCAGCACAGUAAGAGCUUGCUCUUACGGGUGGCGAGUGGCGGACGGGUGAGGAAUACAUCGGAAUCUACUUUUUCGUGGGGGAUAACGUAGGGAAACUUACGCUAAUACCGCAUACGACCUACGGGUGAAAGCAGGGGAUCUUCGGACCUUGCGCGAUUGAAUGAGCCGAUGUCGGAUUAGCUAGUUGGCGGGGUAAAGGCCCACCAAGGCGACGAUCCGUAGCUGGUCUGAGAGGAUGAUCAGCCACACUGGAACUGAGACACGGUCCAGACUCCUACGGGAGGCAGCAGUGGGGAAUAUUGGGCAAUGGGGGCAAGCCUGAUCCAGCAAUACCGCGUGGGUGAAGAAGGCCUUCGGGUUGUAAAGCCCUUUUGUUGGGAAAGAAAAGCAGCAGGUUAAUACCCCGCCGUUCUGACGGUACCCAAAGAAUAAGCACCGGCUAACUUCGUG